UCAAAAACAUGUCCUUUUGAGAUUUAAUAUAAGGUCUAACCUGCCCAAUGAUUAAUUUUUAAUGGCCGCGGUAUUUUAACUGUGCUAAGGUAGCAUAAUCACUUGUCUUUUAAUUAAAGGCUAGAAUGAAUGGUUGGACGAGGUACAAUCUUUCUUUAAUUUAUUUUUUGAAUUUAAUUUCUUAGUUAAAAAGCUAAGAUGUAUUUGAGGGACGAGAAGACCCUAUAGAUCUUUAUAAUUUUAUUUAUUAUGUAUUAUAGUGAAUUAAUUACUUAUAAUGAAUGAAUUUAUUUAGUUGGGGUGACUGUGGAAUUUUAAUAACUUCUGUUUUUAUAAAUCAUAAAUUAGUGUUUUGUUGAUCCAUUAUUAUUGAUUAUAAGAUUAAGUUACCUUAGGGAUAACAGCGUAAUUUCUUUGGAGAGUUCAUAUCGAUAAAGGAGUUUGCGACCUCGAUGUUGGAUUAAAAUAAGUAAAAGGUGUAGGAGCUUUUUUACUAGGUCUGUUCGACCUUUAAUUUUUUACAUGAUCUGAGUUCA
rnacentral:rRNA from 1 species